CCUACGGGUGGCAGCAGUGGGGGAUAUUGCACAAUGGGGGAAACCCUGAUGCAGCGACGCCGCGUGGGUGAAGAAGUAUUUCGGUAUGUAAAGCCCUAUCAGCAGGGAAGAAAGAAGACGGUACCUGACUAAGAAGCCCCGGCGAACUACGUGCCAGCAGCCGCGGUAAUACGUAGGGGGCGAGCGUUAUCCGGAUUCACUGGGGGUAAAGGGAGCGUAGACGGCCGUGCAAGCCAGGCGUGAAAGCCCGGGGCGCAACCCCGGGACUGCUGUUGGAACUGUGCGGCUGGAGUGCGGGAGGGGCAGGCGGAAUUCUUGGUGUAGCGGUGAAAUGCGUAGAGAUCAGGAGGAACACUGGCGGCGAAGGCGACCUGCUGGACCGUGACUGACGUUGAGGCGCGAAAGCGUGGGGAGCGAACAGGAUUAGAUACCCGAGUAGUC
rnacentral:rRNA from 1 species